rnacentral:lncRNA from 1 species
AUCUACUGUUCAUGGACAGGGCCCAGUGACUCUCCUCUUCCUACCAAUGUGCAGAGUGUACUCAGCGGAAGAGUGCCGACAGCUCACAUGCAAACGCUUGGCUAAAGCUCCAGCCCAACUCCCAUCCAGAAAUUCAGCAUCCCUAAUGACUCCUAAGAUGCCAUCGCCCUGCAGGGUGGACGACAUUCUGUUCAGCACCUUCAUGUCACAGCACGCAAGCCUGACGGCGGGCCACGGCCAAUUUCUCCCCAGGGACCCAGAAUUUCCCACACCCCACAUUCGGCCAUUGCCGGCAUGCGCUUUUUGAGGGACUUGAAAAAGGCAAUUGAGUCAUGUGAUGGUGGAAGGAAGAAGUGUCUGCGUGGUCUGUGGAAAUAUCACAGCAGCAACAGCAGCUCGCUUUCAUCAUUCUCUCCAUGGGGACACAACUCAUCAACAGCACGAAAGAGUGACUGGGCACCUCUACCAAGAGCGAUUAUUCACCAGAGACAACCAUCUGAGUCCUCUCCUCCUACCAAGUGUCAUGUCACCUGCUGUGUGUCACAACACACAGAGAUCAAGCCUCUGACUCCACCUGCAGACAAACACUCAGUUCCCUGGGAAAAUGGAAAGUAAAACCCUGUUGGCAGAAUAAACGUCUUAACUUGACAAGGGAGCCAUAUUUUCUCACAGCAUGUCCAUCAGUGUCCACUGUGACCUCCUGUCCCACCGCUAUGCUGACCCUAAGGUGGUGUGGGAGAAGGCACAUAGGGGACACGAGACACAGCCCUGCGCCCACCAUGCCCUUCACGACUGUCGCACCAAAGUCCCUUGUCCUCCACACUCUCAAGUUUUCCUCCUACCCUCAGAGUGUCGUCAUAUCUCCGCUAGGUACUUCUGUGCCAGCCCCAGACUUCACCAAUGCGGAGAAAUCAAAAGCCUGAAAUAGGAAACACAGAGGGGGUCUCCUCUCCUCUAAUUGCGACUGUCCUCACCCUCUUGCCCCUCCAUAGCUGCAGCACCCAACCCUGUGCCGACGCCCCUCACCGUUGUGGACAGCACCCACUUCCCUGAGAGUGCACACAACGUCCCCUCGAGGCAACAUCACCACCCCUCAGCAACACCUUCUCACAGAAACAGGGGAAGGGACAGCCAGAGCCACUGACUACAUGCUGUCCUAUUCAGCAAUGAAGAAUAGGAGGGCAAAAUCCUCCAGCCUGGAGAGCUCGCCAGGCACGUUCCUGGACAUCCAGCCUUAUCGGCACACACCCAUGAGGAUCUAAAUGUCCACGGCCUCAUCUACUGUUCAUGGACAGGGCCCAGUGACUCUCCUCUUCCUACCAAUGUGCAGAGUGUACUCAGCGGAAGAGUGCCGACAGCUCACAUGCAAACGCUUGGCUAAAGCUCCAGCCCAACUCCCAUCCAGAAAUUCAGCAUCCCUAAUGACUCCUAAGAUGCCAUCGCCCUGCAUGGUGGACGACAUUCUGUUCAGCACCUUCAUGUCAGAGCACGCAAGCCUGACGGCGGGCCAUGGCCAAUUUCUCCCCAGGGACCCAGAAUUUCCCACACCCCACAUUCGGCCAUUGCCAUCAUGCGCUUUUUGGGCGACUUGAAAAAGGCAACUGAGUCAUGUGAUGGUGGAAGGAAGAAGUGUCAGCGUGGUUUGUGGAAAUAUAACAGCAGCAA